AUUGAACGCUGGCGGCAUACUUUACACAUGCAAGUCGAACGGUAACAGGGUGCUUGCACCGCUGACGAGUGGCGAACGGGUGAGUAAUAUAUCGGAACGUGCCCAGUCGUGGGGGAUAACGUAGCGAAAGCUACGCUAAUACCGCAUACGAUCUAUGGAUGAAAGCGGGGGAUCGCAAGACCUCGCGCGAUUGGAGCGGCCGAUAUCAGAUUAGGUAGUUGGUGGGGUAAAGGCUCACCAAGCCGACGAUCUGUAGCUGGUCUGAGAGGACGACCAGCCACACUGGGACUGAGACACGGCCCAGACUCCUACGGGAGGCAGCAGUGGGGAAUUUUGGACAAUGGGCGCAAGCCUGAUCCAGCAAUGCCGCGUGCAGGAUGAAGGCCUUCGGGUUGUAAACUGCUUUUGUACGGAGCGAAAAGGCUUCCACUAAUACUGGGGGCUCAUGACGGUACCGUAAGAAUAAGCACCGGCUAACUACGUGCCAGCCGCCGCCGUAAGAC
rnacentral:rRNA from 1 species